rnacentral:rRNA from 1 species
UACAGGGGUGCAAACGUUGCUCGGAAUUAUUGGCGUAAGAGCUCGUAGGCGGUGUGUCACGUCGGCCGUGAAACCUGCAGCUUAACUGUGGCGUGCGGUCGAUACGGGCAUCACUGGAGUUCGGCGAGGGAGGACUGGAAUUCCGUGGUGUAGCGGUGAAAUGCGCAGAUAUCAGGAGGAACACCGGUGGCGAAGGCGGGUCUCUGGGCCGAUACUGACGCUGAGGAAGCGGAAAGCGUGGGGAGCAAAUGG